AUGUCUAGGAAUUUUCACUUCUGUCCAUCUCUUGGAGCCUCGGGCGGACUGCUCACUUCUUGGGAUGGCGACUCCAUCAUUUGCACUAAAAACCACUCUGACAUCUUCUCUCUAACUUGCUGGUUCAAGUUCAGGGCGACUGACCUAUCUUGUGUGGUAACUAAUGUCUACGGUCCUUGUGAUCACUCGCUAAAACCUGCUUUUCUCAACUCCUUAUCUACUCUCAAGACGAUGAUCUCCGGCCCCUGGACUAUCAUCGGCGACUUUAACUUGACCCUCCGCCCUUCCGAGAGAUUGAACGCGAACUUUAAUCAUGCCGAGGCAACAAUGUUUUCUUCCUCGAUUCAAUCAUUGCAGCUGCAAGAUCUUCCUCUACUCGAUCGCCUCUACACUUGGUCCAAUCAACAAGACAAUCCCAUUUUGGUUAAGCUAGACCGUGCCUUAGUCAAUGUUCCUUGGUCCCAAACAUUCCCGGACUCCUUGCUAAUUUCUUGCUCUCGGACUACCUCCGACCAU
rnacentral:rRNA from 1 species